rnacentral:rRNA from 1 species
GAUGAACGCUGGCGGCGUGCCUAAUACAUGCAAGUCGAGCGAAUGGAUUAAGAGCUUGCUCUUAUGAAGUUAGCGGCGGACGGGUGAGUAACACGUGGGUAACCUGCCCAUAAGACUGGGAUAACUCCGGGAAACCGGGGCUAAUACCGGAUAACAUUUUGAACCGCAUGGUUCGAAAUUGAAAGGAGGCUUCGGGUGUCACUUAUGGAUGGACCCGCGUCGCAUUAGCUAGUUGGUGAGGUAACGGCUCACCAAGGCAACGAUGCGUAGCCGACCUGAGAGGGUGAUCGGCCACACUGGGACUGAGACACGGCCCAGACUCCUACGGGAGGCAGCAGUAGGGAAUCUUCCGCAAUGGACGAAAGUCUGACGGAGCAACGCCGCGUGAGUGAUGAAGGCUUUCGGGUCGUAAAACUCUGUUGUUAGGGAAGAACAAGUGCUAGUUGAAUAAGCUGGCACCUUGACGGUACCUAACCAGAAAGCCACGGCUAACUACGUGCCAGCAGCCGCGGUAA